rnacentral:rRNA from 1 species
UACGUAGGGGGCAAGCGUUGUCCGGAUUUAUUGGGCGUAAAGAGCGUGUAGGCGGCUUUACAGGUCCGUUGUGAAAACUCGAGGCUCAACCUCGAGACGCCGGUGGAAACCGUAAAGCUAGAGUCCGGAAGAGGAGAGUGGAAUUCCUGGUGUAGCGGUGAAAUGACGCAGAUAUCAGGAAGAACACCCGUGGCGAAGGCGGCUCUCUGGGACGGUACUGACGCUGAGACGCGAAAGCGUGGGGAGCGAUCCGG